rnacentral:rRNA from 1 species
GACGAACGCUGGCGGCGUGCUUAACACAUGCAAGUCGAACGGAAAGGCCCUGCUUUUGUGGGGUGCUCGAGUGGCGAACGGGUGAGUAACACGUGAGUAACCUGCCCUUGACUUUGGGAUAACUUCAGGAAACUGGGGCUAAUACCGGAUAGGAGCUCCUGCUGCAUGGUGGGGGUUGGAAAGUUUCGGCGGUUGGGGAUGGACUCGCGGCUGAUCAGCUUGUUGGUGGAGUAGUGGCUUACCAAGGCUUUGACGGGUAGCCGGCCUGAGAGGGUGACCGGCCACAUUGGGACUGAGAUACGGCCCAGACUCCUACGGGAGGCAGCAGUGGGGAAUAUUGCACAAUGGGCGGAAGCCUGAUGCAGCAACGCCGCGUGCGGGAUGACGGCCUUCGGGUUGUAAACCGCUUUCGCCUGUGACGAAGCGUGAGUGACGGUAAUGGGUAAAGAAGCACCGGCUAACUACGUG